AAUCAGGCGGUGUUAACAUUUUUAUUAAGACGACCUACGCCAACACAGAUACCAAGAGUAUAAAAGCUUCAUGCAAAAUGUAUUAUGAGACUCUACGGAGAAAGUUUACACUUUCACAGCUGGAUAAAGCCCAUCUGAAGGACAACGUCAGAGCUGGAGCUAAAAGCAGGCAGAGAAAAAGAACACUGCUGGAGUCCAGGACAAGGAUGAUCCAAACCCGUGAGGAAAGUGAAAUCUGGCAGAGAGCCUCUCUAGAGUUAAUGUCAGACAAAGAAGACGACAUCCUCAAUGGGCAAACCCGUGUGGAUUGUCUGGUCUCCUCUAAAUAGGAGCCAACAGUUAACAGACCUUUGCCGCAGUCUUCAGCGAUGGCUGAAAUCAGACCCACGCUAUGCACUUAUGCAUCACUACCGC